UACGGAGGGUGCAAGCGUUGUUCGGAAUUAUUGGGCGUAAAGCGCGUGUAGGCGGCUUCUUAAGUCUGGUGUGAAAGCCCGGGGCUCAACCCCGGAAGUGCACUGGAUACUGGGAAGCUAGAGGACGAGAGAGGAGAGCGGAAUUCCUGGUGUAGGGGUGAAAUCCGUAGAUAUCAGGAGGAACAUCGGAGGCGAAGGCGGCUCUCUGGCUCGUAUCUGACGCUGAGACGCGAAAGCGUGGGGAGCAAACAGG
rnacentral:rRNA from 1 species